rnacentral:rRNA from 1 species
UUCCGUAGGUGAACCUGCGGAGGGAUCAUUACACAAAUAUGAAGGCGGGCUGGAACCUCUCGGGGUUACAGCCUUGCUGAAUUAUUCACCCUUGUCUUUUGCGUACUUCUUGUUUCCUUGGUGGGUUCGCCCACCACUAGGACAAACAUAAACCUUUUGUAAUUGCAAUCAGCGUCAGUAACAAAUUAAUAAUUACAACUUUCAACAACGGAUCUCUUGGUUCUGGCAUCGAUGAAGAACGCAGCGAAAUGCGAUAAGUAGUGUGAAUUGCAGAAUUCAGUGAAUCAUCGAAUCUUUGAACGCACAUUGCGCCCUUUGGUAUUCCAAAGGGCAUGCCUGUUCGAGCGUCAUUUGUACCCUCAAGCUUUGCUUGGUGUUGGGCGUCUUGUCUCUAGCUUUGCUGGAGACUCGCCUUAAAGUAAUUGGCAGCCGGCCUACUGGUUUCGGAGCGCAGCACAAGUCGCACUCUCUAUCAGCAAAGGUCUAGCAUCCAUUAAGCCUUUUUUUCAACUUUUGACCUCGGAUCAGGUAGGGAUACCCGCUGAACUUAAGCAUAUCAAUAAGCGGAGGA